UUGGAGGCCACGCAAUUUGGUGAAGGUAAAUGGAGGAGGCAUCAACGGCUCCGGAUCUGGACGAAGGCGAUCCUUCAUCGACGGUUCUGGAUCUCACGAGCUAUCAGCUCCAUGACCUUGACUCGGUUGAGUUGCCGCCGAAUCUCACUGAGUUGGACCUCACCUCGAAUCGGUUGUCCACUUUGGACCCUCGCAUAGGGCACCUAUCUCAUCUCAAGAAGCUUUCCCUUCGUCAAAACCUCAUCACUGACGCUGCCGUUGAGCCUCUCUCUUCAUGGAACGCUCUUUCCUCUCUUGAGGACCUCGUGCUGCGUGAUAACCAACUAAGGAAAAUUCCUGACGUCAGCAUAUUCAAGACUCUUUUGGUUUUUGAUGUUUCUUUCAAUGAAAUUACUUUGCUACAUGGCUUGUCCAGGGUCUCCAACACCCUCAAGGAGCUCUAUGUAUCGAAAAAUGAAGUGACUAAGAUUGAGGAGAUUGAUCACUUCCAUCAACUCCACAUUCUUGAACUUGGCUCCAAUAAAUUAAGGGUGAUGGAGAAUUUCGAGAACCUCACAAAUUUGCAGGAGCUCUGGCUUGGACGUAAUCGAAUUAAAGUUGUAAAUCUCUGUGGUCUGACAUGCAUCAAGAAGAUUAGUUUGCAAAGCAAUCGUCUCACUACAAUGACAGGAUUUGAGGGUUGCAUAGCUCUAGAAGAACUAUACUUGAGCCAUAAUGGUAUCACAAAAAUGGAAGGCCUGUCAUCUUUAGUCAAUCUCCGGGUUUUAGAUGUAUCAUCAAAUAAGCUAACCUCUGUGGAUGACAUUCUCAACCUGACGCAAUUAGAAGAUUUGUGGCUUAAUGACAACCAAAUAGAAUCACUCGAAGGAAUUGCUGAGGCUGUUGCUGGUUCAAGAGAGAAGCUUACCACUAUCUACCUAGAAAAUAACCCAUGUGCUAAGUCAACCAACUAUGCUACCAUCCUAAGGGAAAUCUUCCCCAACAUCCAACAAAUUGAUUCUUAUGUGUUUUCUUAGGAGUUACUUGGCUUCAGCUUUGGCUGAAAACAGUAGGUUUGAAGCUUUGUCUUUUCAUAUCCAUUUAUCCUGGUUUGAAAGAUCGAUGAUUUGGCUCUGUCCACCUAAUGGAGAGAAUAAGCUUAUCAACAAUUGGACAAUAUUACGUGCCUGACCAUUGGUUACUAGUCGAAUGAACAUGCUUGUUAUAUGUUUCUUGUUUAGCAGACCACAUUUCGUUUUAUUUAUAUCUUUUUGGCAACCAGUUUUUGAAGUUACGCCUUUUUUCUUCUGUGUUAAUGAUAUUUCUAGUUACCUUUUUGGGUAUACAGUGGAGAAUGUAGAUUAAUGAUCGCCUAGAGAUUCACUGAAAUUUGUUUUAGUGAUUCACCAUCCAUAACUAAGUAAAUGUUUAUUGUCUGUGACAUGCAUAUAAGCUAUCUCUGCAAUUCUUCAAGAAUUCCCUC